CUCCAAUUCGUCAUCCUCAUUCUAAACAAACUACAAACUAUAGAUGCACGCUUUCAAUCUUCUUCCCAAAAAAAAUUCUUUUUCUUCUGACUCCAUCGAAAUUCAGAUUUGCCUAAUUUUUUUCCAAAUCUCUUUUAGAUUUCGAUUCAUGGAUGGAUAAAUAUUGUUUUGUUCAAGUCAUCCAUAUCCCCGUUGAUGCCGCCAUCAAUUGCUUCUGGUUUCCUUGAGAAAACCAAUGCAAAAGAUGCAUCUGGAAAUGCUGUAUUUGGAGACUGGUGUUUAUUUGUAACAAGAGGCAAAACUCAAAGGCGACUUAGAGGAUUACAGUUUUUUGUUACUUUAUCAUAAGCUAUUGUUUGCAAACCAUAGCAAUUAAAAGGGAGAGGACCAGAGAUAGAGAUGAUGGUGAACGUCAUUGAACUUGAGAUUAUGACCAAGAUCAUGACAAAGAUAGAGAGAGUCAGCAUAGACAUAGGUCUCGCUCAAAGGGUAGAUCUGAGCAUAGAUCAAUGUCUUGAUCGCAUUUUCAAUCCAAGAGGAGCUGCUGUUGAUGGAGAUGCAGUACAUACUAACCAAAAUAACACAAAGAGAAAAAGGGCAGUUCCUGGUCCAAGUAACCUUGAUGAAAUUUUUAAGUCACCUGUGCCUCCAAAUAGGAGAAAGGGCCAUGACAAAGACCGUCAAAUUACUGGGAUAUAUAAUCCUCAAAAUAUCUUAAGCUGAAUGAACAUGGACAGGCACAUGGCUCCUAGAGAUAUAGGGAAUGAUAUGAGAUUUCUUGAGGGAGGAAGUCAGCUUGUUUCUGCUAAAGCAAGUACAGAACUUGGCCUUGAUAUAGAAGAUUUUUAUAUUCCCUGGGAAGUUCUUGUUCUAAAAGAGAGGAUUAAGGGUCUUUUGGUACCGUUCAUCGUGCUGAUUGAAAUGGCUCUGAUGUUGCUGUGAAGAUUCUCAUGGAACAAGAUUUUCAUGUAGAGCGAAUUGAAGGAAUUUUUGCGGGAGGUAACUCUGAUCUCCCUACUCCUCAACUAUUGAUAAACAAACUGGAUGAAAGGCGUCGGUUGGCUAUGGCGUACGAUGUGGCAAAGGGGAUGAAUUAUCUACAUAAGCGCAAUCCUCCUAUUGUUCAUAGAGAUUUAAAAUCUCCAAAUCUUUUAGUUAAUUAAAAAUACACAGUGAAGGUGAGAGUAAUAACCUCCACGACACAUGUAACGGUGCAAUCCAUCAUUUUUCUAUUGAUAUACUUCUAGACUUGCACUGUCAGAGUAGUGGUCUAAACAGAGGUCUGAAUCCAAUCUCAGAAAUAUAAUCUAACUCUACUGACUCUACUGCAUUCUGGAACAAGUCUUACGCAAAGUUACUUAUGAUAAAUAAUUAAGUUCUGUUAUGAUGUUUAUUGCAUAUUCUGUACUCUUAUAUUUAUUAAAGAUAUCUCUUUAUGCAAAGAUGUUGGAUGUCCCUCACCUGUCUGAUGUCUUCAUCAGGCCUAUGAUUUUGUCUUUCUCGUUUAAAAGCGAACACAUUUCUCUCAUCAAAGUCGACUGCUGGGACUAUGAGUUCUUGAUUCAAUGUAUGCUUUAUUUAACUUUUAUUCAUCUUUGGCACUUCACUUCAUCAAUGAAAAAAAGUAUUUGAUUCUUCUUGUGAUAGCCAGAAUGGAUGGCACCUGAAGUUCUUCAUGAUGAACCAUUAAAUGAGAAAUCUGAUGUAUACAGCUUUGGUGUCAUUUUGUGGGAGCGGACAACAUUGCAACAACCUUGUGUUACUUUGAACCCAGCACAGGUUUGUAUUUCUAAUCCUUCUGUUGUAUUGUCCAGGGGGGAUUUAAGGUAGAAACCUGAUGUUUGUGAAUGCGUCCAGAGGAAUAAUUGUUUAUAGGUGAAAUUACCUAAAGCCAACUAUUGAAAGGUGCAAGUGAAUUGUUGUACGAAGGCUUUUACCGGGGAUUGAAACGCUCCAAUUUGACAUUAGUUGCACAAGGAAUCAUUUUGCUCCUCUUAAAUCUAAAAUGGCUCAUCCACGAAAUACCGAGCACUGUGUUUACUGAAAAGCAAAAGCAGGACCUUUAUGUUGCAAUACUUAAUUUAGUGUAAAGACUGAACAAUAGGCUGCAUCUGGAGCCAUUCAAUUUUGUGUUGGGAGUUGAUUCAAGUUAUUUCUUUUUCCUUCUAUGUUUGGUAUGACUUAUACCAGGGGAUGGAGAAUAAUCCAAUUUAUUGGUACUUUCAUCAUUAAGAGAUGAGAUAAGAGGGGAUGUAUAUCGAUUCUUAUGAAUUUUGUAUUGGUUAAAAGGAUCUAAACCUGUAGGUUGUAGCUACUGUUGGCUUCAAGGGGAGAAGACUCGAAAUUCCACGUGACGUGACUCCUCAAGUGGCAAGCAUUAAUGAGGCUUGUUGGGCCAAGUAUGUUUCUUAUGUUCUUCCAUAGUUCAGUCAUGGACUUUUGGGUUGCUUUGACGUGCUCUUUAAGUCGCUUGGGAUAAUGUUGCAGAGAACCAUGGAAACGUCCCUCCUGCUGCAAUCAUGGAUAUACUGAGACCACUAAUUAAACCUCAUGUAGCACCUUCUCAAUCAGUUCAUACAGACAUGCAGUUGCUUUCAUGAAUGCCUGCAAUAGAAUCAUACCCUCGAUAAACUGCAAGUGUUUCAUGUCAUGUCUAAUCACCUCUCUUGAUAAGCAUUUUUUCACACCAAAUAUCACAAAAUGCUUGCAAGUACAUUCAAUUUAUUCAACAAGUUGAUCCCCAUCAUAUCACAAAAUACAUGCCAGAAAUACUUCCUUCUCAAA